GAAGCAAGUGUGCUUUUUGGUAAUGCGACAUUUUGAUUCGGUUUGAGGUAAUUUUCAUCCAUCAGAUCAAUAAGUUACCUUACUCUUUUUUUCGGCCCGUGAACAAGUUUCUAACCAAAUGGGUUGCUCCAAUCAUUAACUUCAGAGAAAGUUUUUCUAGAUAUUAACCGGGGCAAAGCAACGUCAAAACGGGAAAAUUUACAUAAUAAAGUUUUUUGUCAACAUUUUUUUUUUGUAUUUGAGAAUCGUAGAAACCUGGGAAUUUCACCGGAUAAGUAUUUGGUGAAAUAUUAUGACUUAUAUUCGCUACUUUCUGACGUUUUCCGAGUAAUUUGAUCUUCGAAUUCAAUUAGUUUUACGUUUAUACAAUUUUUCAAUACUCAAUACAUGCUCGAAAUAUUAACAUAAGUUGUUUUUAUGGUAGGGUAUAAUAAUAUAAAAAUAUCGCAAAUCCGUUUAGUCACGAUUUUUUGUUUUUAUCCAAUGAAGAUAUCUGCAGCUUAUCAGACGACAGUUUGAAAGUGAAUUUUUUCUCUCGUGACCAUAUUGUUUAUACUAAUAACAAUGUGUACCCAUAAUAAAUAAACUGUGUUCGGAUAGGUAAUUUAUGCAAAUUUAAACAAAAUAUCGUUCGUUAUUCUUGUGGGGGCCAUCGGUGUGAGUGGGAACAUAUAAAGUUGCGCCAAAAAGUUAUUUUCAAACUUAAUUAUUAUUAAACGUGUGCUGGGCUUUGUUUACAUUAUUAUUAUUAUGAUGUUUAACGCGUUUGUUUACAGCGAGGAAAAUAAUUGUUUCCCGAGUAGUCUUCUAUUUGUAUCCGCAUUAUGCAUACUCAUGCAUGUAUAACGUUAUACAGGGUGAUUUUUUUUUGUCAUGAUCCAGCGAUAAAUUUAAUUUUUGUCUCGUUUUUUUCAAUCAUGAUUAUUUUGAAGCUUACCUUUAACGCAUUUUUAAAUGUUUAUACGUUACACCUACUCCUUAUUGUACGAAAAAAUAAUUAUUCGUUAUCAUUUUUACCCUUUUCAACACAGAUAUGAA